rnacentral:lncRNA from 1 species
GUCUGUCAUGUCCAGCCUGUGAAGAGCACGCUGGCUGAGCUGGCGAGAGGGGUGGGGGCGUCCUGGGGCUGCUUCUGCUCUGAUGAAGGCACCCACUGUCACUGUCCCGGCCCUCGCUGAGUGUUCCCGGACCCGUGGGCCCGCGUCUGUGCCAGGCCUUGGGGAGCUCCAGCCUCGGAGCCUCUUCCCGUUCUCAGACCUCAGUGCGAGGAGGAAAUCGGGUGCCUAGUGGGGCACUACCUGUCUGGAAGUAUUUUACACGAAGUUUAAGCCUUGAGAUUUCCUGGAGCAGGACCUCUGAAGUCACCAUCACAAAUGGCAGGCCCACACAAGGACUGAUUUACUUCUGACUCACCCAUGGCCUUCAGGCUUAGAGUUGGGGCCUUGUCGGAUUCCUCUCUCUUACCAACUCUGGGCUUUGACUCUGUUGUCCCUAAUGCCAUGCUGAUAAAUAAUUAAUAACUGGCUCUUCAUAAAAAAAAACAGUUUUGAUCUGUAGCACCUGCCAAUUCCCAUGGUGUAAACACUCCUGCCAUGGCUGACUUCAAGUUACCAACACAACAUCACUGAGUGUGGGAUUGGAAAAAGAUGCCCAUGGCUGGCUCUUAAGAGUCCUCUGAGCCUUGCUGGUUCUCCCUCACCUGCCAUUGAGGGGGCUGAUGGGUGCAACAGUCAUUCCUGAGGCUGCAAAGUUCUUUAAAGCAGAAGCAGCUGACUCUUGCUUAUGUUUUGCAGUACUUGCUGGGCUCUCAACUCCUCCAAGGUUUUGGCCUGGUAGUGCAUUCUUUGCUACCUGAUUUGCUCUUUUCUGCUUUAAAGAAGAUUGGAAAAAAAUUUUUUUUUUGAGACAGGGUCUCACUCUGUCACCUAGG